rnacentral:rRNA from 1 species
GGGUUGUGAGGUUAAGCGACUAAGCGUACACGGUGGAUGCCCUGGCAGUCAGAGGCGAUGAAGGACGUGCUAAUCUGCGAAAAGCGUCGGUAAGGUGAUAUGAACCGUUAUAACCGGCGAUGUCCGAAUGGGGAAACCCAGUGUGAUUCGUCACACUAUCGUUAACUGAAUACAUAGGUUAACGAGGCGAACCGGGGGAACUGAAACAUCUAAGUACCCCGAGGAAAAGAAAUCAACCGAGAUUCCCCCAGUAGCGGCGAGCGAACGGGGAGCAGCCCAGAGUCUGAAUCAGCUUGUGUGUUAGUGGAACGGUCUGGAAAGUCCGACGGUACAGGGUGAUAGUCCCGUACACCAAAAUGCACAGGCUGUGAACUCGAAGAGUAGGGCGGGACACGUGGUAUCCUGUCUGAAUAUGGGGGGACCAUCCUCCAAGGCUAAAUACUCCUGACUGACCGAUAGUGAACCAGUACCGUGAGGGAAAGGCGAAAAGAACCCCGGCGAGGGGAGUGAAAAAGAACCUGAAACCGUGUACGUACAAGCAGUGGGAGCACCUUCGGGUGUGACUGCGUACCUUUUGUAUAAUGGGUCAGCGACUUAUAUUCUGUAGCAAGGUUAACCGUAUAGGGGAGCCGCAGGGAAACCGAGUCUUAACUGGGCGUUAAGUUGCAGGGUAUAGACCCGAAACCCGGUGAUCUAGCCAUGGGCAGGUUGAAGGUUGGGUAACACUAACUGGAGGACCGAACCGACUAAUGUUGAAAAAUUAGCGGAUGACUUGUGGCUGGGGGUGAAAGGCCAAUCAAACCGGGAGAUAGCUGGUUCUCCCCGAAAGCUAUUUAGGUAGCGCCUCGUGAAUUCAUCUUCGGGGGGUAGAGCACUGUUUCGGCUAGGGGGUCAUCCCGACUUACCAACCCGAUGCAAACUACGAAUACCGAAGAAUGUUAUCACGGGAGACACACGGCGGGUGCUAACGUCCGUCGUGAAGAGGGAAACAACCCAGACCGCCAGCUAAGGUCCCAAAGUCAUGGUUAAGUGGGAAACGAUGUGGGAAGGCACAGACAGCCAGGAUGUUGGCUUAGAAGCAGCCAUCAUUUAAAGAAAGCGUAAUAGCUCACUGGUCGAGUCGGCCUGCGCGGAAGAUGUAACGGGGCUAAACCAUGCACCGAAGCUGCGGCAGCGACACUAUGUGUUGUUGGGUAGGGGAGCGUUCUGUAAGCCUGCGAAGGUGACCUGUGAGGGUUGCUGGAGGUAUCAGAAGUGCGAAUGCUGACAUAAGUAACGAUAAAGCGGGUGAAAAGCCCGCUCGCCGGAAGACCAAGGGUUCCUGUCCAACGUUAAUCGGGGCAGGGUGAGUCGACCCCUAAGGCGAGGCCGAAAGGCGUAGUCGAUGGGAAACAGGUUAAUAUUCCUGUACUUGGUGUUACUGCGAAGGGGGGACGGAGAAGGCUAUGUUAGCCGGGCGACGGUUGUCCCGGUUUAAGCAUGUAGGCUGGUUGUCCAGGCAAAUCCGGAUAAUCAAGGCUGAGGUGUGAUGACGAGGCACUACGGUGCUGAAGUAACAAAUGCCCUGCUUCCAGGAAAAGCCUCUAAGCAUCAGGUAACAUCAAAUCGUACCCCAAACCGACACAGGUGGUCAGGUAGAGAAUACCAAGGCGCUUGAGAGAACUCGGGUGAAGGAACUAGGCAAAAUGGUGCCGUAACUUCGGGAGAAGGCACGCUGGUGUGUAGGUGAAGUCCCUGCGGAUGGAGCUGAGACCAGUCGAAGAUACCAGCUGGCUGCAACUGUUUAUUAAAAACACAGCACUGUGCAAACACGAAAGUGGACGUAUACGGUGUGACGCCUGCCCGGUGCCGGAAGGUUAAUUGAUGGGGUUAUCCGUAAGGAGAAGCUCUUGAUCGAAGCCCCGGUAAACGGCGGCCGUAACUAUAACGGUCCUAAGGUAGCGAAAUUCCUUGUCGGGUAAGUUCCGACCUGCACGAAUGGCGUAAUGAUGGCCAGGCUGUCUCCACCCGAGACUCAGUGAAAUUGAACUCGCUGUGAAGAUGCAGUGUACCCGCGGCAAGACGGAAAGACCCCGUGAACCUUUACUAUAGCUUGACACUGAACAUUGAGCCUUGAUGUGUAGGAUAGGUGGGAGGCUUUGAAGCGUGGACGCCAGUCUGCGUGGAGCCAACCUUGAAAUACCACCCUUUAAUGUUUGAUGUUCUAACGUUGGCCCCUUACCGGGGUUGCGGACAGUGUCUGGUGGGUAGUUUGACUGGGGCGGUCUCCUCCCAAAGCGUAACGGAGGAGCACGAAGGUUAGCUAAUCCUGGUCGGACAUCAGGAGGUUAGUGCAAUGGCAUAAGCUAGCUUGACUGCGAGCGUGACGGCGCGAGCAGGUGCGAAAGCAGGUCAUAGUGAUCCGGUGGUUCUGAAUGGAAGGGCCAUCGCUCAACGGAUAAAAGGUACUCCGGGGAUAACAGGCUGAUACCGCCCAAGAGUUCAUAUCGACGGCGGUGUUUGGCACCUCGAUGUCGGCUCAUCACAUCCUGGGGCUGAAGUAGGUCCCAAGGGUAUGGCUGUUCGCCAUUUAAAGUGGUACGCGAGCUGGGUUUAGAACGUCGUGAGACAGUUCGGUCCCUAUCUGCCGUGGGCGCUGGAGAAUUGAGGGGGGCUGCUCCUAGUACGAGAGGACCGGAGUGGACGCAUCACUGGUGUUCGGGUUGUCAUGCCAAUGGCACUGCCCGGUAGCUAAAUGCGGAAGAGAUAAGUGCUGAAAGCAUCUAAGCACGAAACUUGCCCCGAGAUGAGUUCUCCCUGAGACUUUAAGUCUCCUGAAGGAACGUUGAAGACGACGACGUUGAUAGGCCGGGUGUGUAAGCGCAGCGAUGCGUUGAGCUAACCGGUACUAAUGAACCGUGAGGCUUAACCUUACAACGCCGAAG